rnacentral:rRNA from 1 species
UACGUAGGGUGCGAGCGUUGUCCGGAUUUAUUGGGCGUAAAGGGCUCGUAGGCGGUCUGUCGCGUCGGUAGUGAAAACUCAGGGCUUAACCCUGAGCCUGCUUCCGAUACGGGCAGACUAGAGGUAUGCAGGGGAGAAUGGAAUUCCUGGUGUAGCGGUGAAAUGCGCAGAUAUCAGGAGGAACACCGGUGGCGAAGGCGGUUCUCUGGGCAUUACCUGACGCUGAGGAGCGAAAGUGUGGGGAGCGAACAGG